CGGGUAUAGUUUAGUGGCAAAACAUCAGCUUCCCAAGCUGAGGUUGCGGGUUCGAUUCCCGCUACCC
rnacentral:tRNA from 1 species